GCGCGCUUGNAAAGCUUCGUUGNGAUGCACGNUCAUGACAGGACUCAGAGACCCGGCUAACUCCUGUGCCAGCACGCCGCNAAUCAAGACGGCAAGUGUUCUUCGGAAUGACUGGGCGUAAGCACGUAGCGCGGNGAAUCAGGUUGAAAGUGAAAGUCGCCAACUGGCGGAAUGCUCUCGACCAAUUCACUUGGGUGAGACANACGAGAGUGGAAUUUCGUGUGUAGGGGUGAAAUCCAGAUCUACGAAGGAACGCCAAAANCGAAGGCAGCUCUCUGNGUCUACCAGACGCNUGGGGUGCGAAGCAUGUGGAGCAACNGGUUAGAACCCUGGGCGUCCAUGCCGUNAAACCAUNNGUGUUCCACCUUGCACGGAUCUGGGCCCAGCUAACGCNUGAAACACCUCCGCCUGGGAGUACGGUCNCAAGACCGANACUCAGAUGANUNUGACGG
rnacentral:rRNA from 1 species